rnacentral:tRNA from 2 species
GCCCCCGUCGUCUAGAGGCCCAGGACGCCACCCUUUCAAGGUGGAAAUCGCGGGUUCGAAUCCCGCCGGGGGCGCCA